GUCUACGGCCAUGCCACCCUGAACAUGACUGAUCUUAUCUGAUCUCGAAAGCUAAGCAGGGUCAGGCCUGGUUAGUACUUAGAUGGGAGACCACCUAGGAAUACCAGGUGCUGUAGGCG
rnacentral:rRNA from 1 species